rnacentral:rRNA from 1 species
GACGAACGCUGGCGGCGUGCUUAACACAUGCAAGUCGAACGAAGUGGCGAACGGGUGAGUAACGCGUAAUCAACCUGCCCUGCAGAGGGGUACAACAGUGGAAAACGACUGCUAAGACCGCAUAACGAAGGAGGGGCGUGCGUCGUAUUAGCUAGUUGGAGGGGUAACGGCCCCCCAAGGCGAUGAUCAGUAGCCGGUCUGAUAGGAUGAACGGCGAAAUUGGGACUGAGACACGGCCCAGACUCCUACGGGAGGCAGCAGGGGGGAAUCUUCCGCAAUGGACGAAAGUCUGACGGAGCAACGCCGCGUGAGUGAUGACGGCCUUCGGGUUGUAAAGCUCUGUUAAUCGGGACGCGGUACCGGAAUAGAAAGCCACGGCUAACUACGUGCCAGCAGCCGCGGUAAUUC